rnacentral:tmRNA from 1 species
GGGGGCGAAAUGGUUUCGAGGCCAGUGUCGUGUCUGGUGGAAGCGGGCCGAGGUCCAGGUUCCUCGUAAAACUGUCUGGAAAACUAACUGAAACGUCGCUGCCUAAGCGACUUCCCACCUCUAGAUAGGUGGGCGUUCCACCCGGGAGUGCCUGCGGCCCGGGAUGGGGCGUCGUGCAGCAGGAUUACUCCGAGGCUCUCCGUCCGGCGGACCUCGGGGGACAUGAAGUCGGACUGGGCACCAGCAAGCUAGUUCGCGGCAACUGCUGGGCCGAGACAAGAAAGCGGACUACGCCCGUAGAUGCCCCAGAUGGGAGCUGUUGCCGACCCGGGUUCAACUCCCGGCGCCUCCAA